AUAAGUUAUUCAUGCUUCUGUCUUUUGUGAUCUCUCUCUAAAGACUAUGAAGCUGUUCUUGGUGCUCUACAGUUUUGCCCAAAACCAAGAAGCUUGCAGAGAACUCUCUUCUUCCGUCUGGCUGAGCUUUCACCUCAGCAGAUGAUUUGGACUGCAGUCUGUGUUCUGCAGAGUGAUGUGUGGUUGAAAGCUUUGCCACUCCACACAGCUACCCAGUGAUGGUCAACAACCAGUACUGUGAUUGAAUGCACUGCUUGAAUUUGAGCCUUUGUCCAGCAGAGUCCUAAAGCUUCAAGGAUGGAGCCUGCAGUGUCCUUGGGGAAUUUGCUCCAGUGUUUCUGAAGGAACAAGAUGGUUUUACAUUUCAGCUUGAACCUUCCAGACUUCAAUUUUUGGCUAUGGCAGAUCAUUCUUAUUGCUCUCAAUUUCUCUUGCCUGUAAAAAAUUCUUAAAACCUAACACUGAUGAGGGACAAAUGAGAAGCUUAGAUUCUGAUACCUGUACAAACUAGAUUUUUGUGAACUGGAUACUCCAAUAAUAAAUGUUUUAAUAUCUAGACCCAUAUUCAUUCUGAGAUAUUUUUUCCUUUCUAAUUCUAUUUCAUGUAAAAUGAUUACAUAAUAAUUUAAUAUGUUGACAUUUUUUCUUCUUAUCUGAGCCUGGCAGUUUUCAAUGAGUUCUGGUUCAUAUAUUAAUGAAUAAAUGACUUGAAAACAAACAAAAAAAAAUUGUUAGUAUGAAAUUAGGAAUUACUCCAUGUUUUUUUCAUUUCUUACCUUACUUGUCAGCACAUGCCACUUAGCAGAGCUUUGAGAAU